rnacentral:rRNA from 1 species
CCUACGGGUGGCAGCAGUGGGGAAUAUUGGGCAAUGGGCGCAAGCCUGACCCAGCAACGCCGCGUUAAGGAAGAAGGCUUUCUGGUUGUAAACUUCUUUUCUCAGGGACGAAGAAAGUGACGGUCCCUGAUGACUAAGCCACGGCUAACUACGUGCCAGCAGCCGCGGUAAUACGUAGGUGGCAAGCGUUAUCCGGAUUUACUGGGUGUACAGGGCGUGUAGGCGGGACUGCAAGUCAGAGGUGAAAACCACGGGCUCAACCUGUGGCCUGCAUUUGAAACUGUAGUUCUUGAGUACUGGAGAGGCAGACGGAAUUCCUGGUGUAGCGGUGAAAUGCGUAGAUAUUAGGAGGAACACCAGUGGCGAAGGCGGUCUGCUGGACAGCAACUGACGCUGAGGCGCGAAAGCGUGGGGAGCAAACAGGAUUAGAUACCCCAGUAGUC